rnacentral:ncRNA from 1 species
GUCUGUGAAGAUGCAGACUACUUGCACCUGGACAGAAAGACCCUAUGAAGCUUUACUGUUCCCUGGGACUGGCUUUGGGCCUUUCCUGCACAGCUUAGGUGGAAGGUGAAUAAGGCCCCUUUCCAGGGGGUGGGCGAGCCAUCAGUGAGAUACCACUCUGGAAGAGCUCGGAUUCUAACCUUGUGUUAGACCCGUGGGCCAAGGGACAGUCUCAGGUAAACAGUUUCUAUGGGGUGUAGGCCUCCCAAAAGGUAAUGGAGGCAUGCAAAGGUUUCCUCGGGCCAGACGGACAUUGGUCCUCAAAUGCAAAGGCAGAAGGGAGCUUGACUGCAAGACUCACCCGUCGAGCAGAGACGAAAGUCGGCCUUAGUGAUCUGACAGUGCAUAUUAUCAUAUAGAAAUAAGCGAAGCAUAGCGAUUCGUACUACCGGAAAAGUGUCGCUAACUGCUAGG